GCGGUUGUAGUUUAAUGGCAGAACGUCAGACUGUGGCUCUGAAGACGAGGGUCCGAUUCCCUCCUACCGCU
rnacentral:tRNA from 1 species